UUUCUCCCUCCAUGUUGUCUCUCUCCAGUCUGAGGCCUCUGGAUGUGGAGUUUAUGAGUCGUCUGAGUAAAGUGGUCAACAUAGUCCCUGUCAUCGCUAAGGCAGACACACUCACCCUGGAGGAGAGGGACUUCUUCAAACAGACGAUCAGGGAAGCACUGCGAGCCAACGGGAUCGACGUCUACCCUCAGGAAGAGUUUGACGAGGACGCUGAUGACAGGAUGGAUCAAUGAGAAAAUCAAGGACCCACAUGCAGAACAUCAAGGACAUCACCAGUAGUAUCCACUACGAGGUGUACCGCGUCCGCAGGCUAAAUGAGACCAACGCCCAGCCCAAUGGCCAGCCACCCAACACACUGGCCAACCCACAGCCACAGCAGGCCAACGGGGUGGCAGCACUGUUCUGACCCAUGAGAUGUAGACGUCUAACUACCCCAGAAACACACACACACACACACACACACACACACACACACACAUAUGGGUUGUUCCACAAAAUGAGACCCUUUUGGGUAGUGUGACUUGGUGAAGAGUUUUAUUUGACCUCAUUUUAACAUUCUGUCAUAAAGAGCACAUGUUCAACUUCAUUUAAAAAGCAUGUUUACCCCAUCUCAAACGGUUAAAUAAAAAAUGACUAUAGUAAGUGCCUAUUAAAAGCCAUAACAGGGUUGACUAUUUAAUCUGAAAUCAGCCAUUAAUCCCUUUGUAACAGGGGAAUGGAAGCUUAUGUGCAACAGGGAGGGGCAAGCUUCACAAAACAUUUUUUAGUGUUAAAACAUUUCUUGAAUGUUUAUAUGUGGGUAAAAGGGUUUACGUGUUAUACUCGACCCGCUCAGCUUAUUCAUGUUCAAUGUUUCUGUUGAAUAAAAAAAUGAAUAAUUUCAUCAUUAAAAUGAGAGUUCAGUCUACGUAACAGGGUUUUCUUUAUUAUUAUGUUUCUCCCUUAAAAUGAAUCACGAAUCACAUGAAAUAAAUAAUACUCUUUAGAAAUGACUUUGUCAAAGCAACAAAAUAACUAGGCCUUUACAAUGAUCGUGAAAACUUGAACAUUUUUCAAAUCUUUCUAGAAAUCACAAGAGACAUGUCAAAAUGCUGAGUUUUUCAUAUAAGUCUUAUUCAUAUAAAAAAAUACAAUUUUAUUUCAUUCAUUUAAACAGGCUUUUUUAAUUGGUGCACAAUUUAUACUUUAAAUAUCAAAAGGAUGCAAAGGGGACUCAUUUUGUGGAACAACCCAUCACUUUAAUGGCUGGCAACUAAUGUGACACACACACAUCCACUCACACUGAGCCUCCUCCGACAUCUCCCCAUCGUCACUGGCUGACUUGACAUAAAGGACUGUACAUACCAACAUCAAGUGUAUAACUAUUUUUACAUGAUCAACUGCCGAAACAGAGUUUCUGUUACCUGGAAGUUCUAGUGUAGGUAGUUGUAGGUCAGAGCUGUUGUGUAAACAGUACAAGAUGUUUCCUAGGGAGAUGGGAUGCCACAGUAUUCUAACAUACAGAUGUGUACAGACCAGCUAUUGAAGUCUAGCAGAUCAAACUUUAGUUAAACUAGAAAGACCUGGUCAAAAUGACCUGGUCUACGUCUGGGUUGUGCUGUAUAGUGUUGUCUAGAUAUUGGGAGGUAGGGUUUAGGUUCUUUGUAAAUUUUGACACAUCUGCACUGCACAGUAAAACAGCAAUGCAGUGUGGAGCAGUAAGACCUCUUGCCAAAUGAUCCCGUCUAUACCAAUAUGCCAAUGUCAUAUUUGUGACAUUUACUGUUGUGUUGUUGUUAUUAUAAUAUUAUUGCAUUGUUUUUAGCGAGAUUUAGGUGUAGGGAACACACCUGUUUUCUCCCUAUGCGUUUUCUCUUCUGUAAACCAAAUACAUGCCCUUUCUGUUUAUGCUUCUUAUGUACUCUCUUUUAGUUGAGUUAGAUGAAGGCUACCAGCUUCUAAACACACCCCUUGUUCUCCUGACAUUCUCCUGCUCUGUCGUUCGCUACGGAGAAGAAACUAACGUCCGUUGGCGUAGCCUUUGAGUCUGGGUAUCCAGGCAAGGAAAACCUAUGUAGACCCUCUUUGUUUGUAUUUAGCAGUAUCUCCUUGCCCUCAUACUUUGUCUCCCCUUUAUUUAUAGGGAAUUGUAUGAAUCUAGAUUUAUUUUCUGUCUUUUUGGACAUGAUACAGAUUAGGACUACAGGUAGGUUGAAUAUGUUGCCUAUAUACACAGCUUAAAAUAAUAUUUAGUUCCCCUGACAGUUUUGCAUUCCCGGUGUAGUCAAUCUAUAGCUCCCAUAUCUUCCCUACUAAACAUUUAUUCCAGAAAGUUAUAAAUGUGCCAUUCAGCCAAACACAAUUCAUCACUCAGCUAAAAAACUUAUGGACAGAGGUCAAAACCAAGAGUACUAUUCAUUCAGCAAUGUAGCUCACAUAACAUAAAUGACAAAAGUUAGUAAAAUGUUUAUUGUUAUGUAAUUUAUGGUAUGAUAGGUUAAGAUGUAUUUUUGAUAUGCUAUCUCAAAGAAAUAAAGACUUUUAUUGUUUACACUUA